AAACACUUGAAGUCAGUCGCGUCAUAUAGACUCAGCCUUACUUUUGUGGGGUGCAUUUCUUAUGUGACGGGCCAGCAUCAGUUUCGACCGUUGGAAAAAGUCCAGGGGAAUGUGGCACCUUCGGGUGUGUUAUAGCCCCUGUUCGCAUACAGCGGUUGGGAUUGAGGUUCGCAGCACGCCUUUUGGCCGGGGUUCGCCCACGUACGUGCUUAGGAUGCUGGCGUAAUGGCUUUAAA
rnacentral:rRNA from 1 species